GACGAACGCUGGCGGCGUGCCUAAUACAUGCAAGUUGAGCGCUGAAGGUUGGUACUUGUACCGACUGGAUGAGCAGCGAACGGGUGAGUAACGCGUGGGGAAUCUGCCUUUGAGCGGGGGACAACAUUUGGAAACGAAUGCUAAUACCGCAUAAAAACUUUAAACACAAGUUUUAAGUUUGAAAGAUGCAAUUGCAUCACUCAAAGAUGAUCCCGCGUUGUAUUAGCUAGUUGGUGAGGUAAAGGCUCACCAAGGCGAUGAUACAUAGCCGACCUGAGAGGGUGAUCGGCCACAUUGGGACUGAGACACAGCCCAAACUCCUACGGGAGGCAGCAGUAGGGAAUCUUCGGCAAUGGACGAAAGUCUGACCGAGCAACGCCGCGUGAGUGAAGAAGGUUGUCGGAUCGUAAAACUCUGUUGGUAGAGAAGAACGUUGGUGAGAGUGGAAAGCUCAUCAAGUGACGGUAACUACCCAGAAAGGGACGGCUAACUACGUG
rnacentral:rRNA from 1 species